rnacentral:rRNA from 1 species
CGCCGAACAGCUAGCCCACCUGAACAACUUCAACACACCCAUAUAAAUACCCCUAAAUAUACAACCUAAAAUAAAACAAAUCAUUUUACCCCCUUAGUAUGGGCGACAGAAAAGGGAAUAGGCGCGACAGAGACAGUACCGCAAGGGAACGCUGAAAGAGAAAUGAAAUAACCCAGUAAAGCACUGAAAAGCAGAGCUAAACCCUCGUACCUUUUGCAUCAUGAUUUAGCCAGUGAUUCUCAAGCAAAAAGAUUUUUAGUUUGUUAACCCGAAACUAAGGGAGCUACUCCAAGACAGCCUAAUAAUAGGGCGCACCCGUCUCUGUUGCAAAAGAGUGGGACGAGCUUUGAGUAGAGGUGACAAACCUACCGAACUUAGUUAUAGCUGGUUCCCCAAGAAAUGAAUAGUAGUUCAGCCUCCCGGAUUCUCCCUUCACCUCAGUAUAAACACAUCCCUGAUAGCCAAAGAAGCCGAGAGAGUUAUUCAAAGGGGGUACAGCCCCUUUGAAACAAGACACAACUUUCCCAGGCGGGUAAAGAUCAUA